UGAAAACAUCAAAAUAAAUUAAAAUCGACAAUCAGAAAUGAUUAUAGUAAUGUAGUAAUUGCGAACACACAACAAAGAAUUGGGAUAACGGGACCAAAAGGGGAAAUUAAGAAGAAUUUCGCUUAAACAUUCUAAAAAUAGAUGUCAACCGAAGACAAUUGCAUACCAACAAUACAUUUUCAAUUUAAAAAGGAAAGUUAACAAAUAAACGGAACAAUGGCACAUAUAGUUUCUUCACUGAUUUAAGCAAUAUUCGAAUAUAUGUAUAUAAUUCAUAAUAAAGUAUGGAUAUGCCAGUUGCUGCUGAGAAAAUUAUAUAAAUUAUGUGCGAAUUUUAAUCGAAAUAGCAUCUAUUUUGGCGAUUGAGAGUAAAAAUAAAGCAAAAUUUAAAAAAUCCGUUCAAUGUUUAGAAUUUUAAGCAUCAUUAUACAUCUUUUAUAACAUAUGCAAUAUAUAUUUUAACUAAUGUGCAAAUAUGCAAAAAAUAUAAAAAUUUAAA